rnacentral:rRNA from 1 species
UGGGGAAUAUUGGGCAAUGGAGGGAACUCUGACCCAGCGACGCCGCGUGCGGGAUGAAGGCCUUCGGGUUGUAAACCGCUUUCAGCAAGGAAGAAGCGAAAGUGACGGUACUUGCAGAAGAAGCACCGGCUAACUAUGUGCCAGCAGCCGCGGUAAUACAUAGGGUGCAAGCGUUGUCCGGAAUUAUUGGGCGUAAAGAGCUCGUAGGUGGUUCGUCACGUCGGAUGUGAAAAUCUGGGGCUCAACCCCAGACCUGCAUUCGAUACGGGCGAUCUAGAGUGUGGUAGGGGAGACUGGAAUUCCUGGUGUAGCGGUGGAAUGCGCAGAUAUCAGGAGGAACACCAAUGGCGAAGGCAGGUCUCUGGGCCAUUACUGACACUGAGGAGCGAAAGCGUGGGGAGCGAACAGGAUUAGAUACCCUGGUAGUCCACGCCGUAAACGGUGGGCACUAGUUGUGGGAACCUUCCACGGUUUCUGSGACGCAGCUAACGCAUUAAGUGCCCCGCCUGGGGAGUACGAUCGCAAGAUUA